rnacentral:rRNA from 1 species
UACGUAGGUGGCAAGCGUUAUCCGGAUUUACUGGGUGUAAAGGGCGUGUAGGCGGGACUGCAAGUCAGAUGUGGAAACCACGGGCUCAACCUGUGGCCUGCAUUUGAAACUGUAGUUCUUGAGUACUGGAGAGGCAGACGGAAUUCCUAGUGUAGCGGUGAAAUGCGUAGAUAUUAGGAGGAACACCAGUGGCGAAGGCGGUCUGCUGGACAGCAACUGACGCUGAGGCGCGAAAGCGUGGGGAGCAAACAGG